rnacentral:misc_RNA from 1 species
GAUGAAGAACGUAUCGAAAUGCGAUACUUGGUGUGAAUUGCAGAAUCCCGUGAACCAUCGAGUCUUUGAACGCAAGUUGCGCCCGAAGCCAUUAGGCCGAGGGCACGCCUGCCUGGGCGUCACACGUCGUUGCCCCCCCCAUCUACUCCUUCGGGAUUGCGGGGGGCGGAUGAUGGCCUCCCGUGCGCCUCGCCGCGCGGUUGGCAUAAAUGCCAAGUCCUCGGCGACGCACGCCACGACAAUCGGUGGUUGCGAAACCUCGGUUGCCCGUCGUGUGCGGUCGUCGCGCAUCGAGGGCUCGAAAAAAUUGCCGAGUUCCGGCUCGGCUUUCAACGCGACCCCAGGUCAGGCGGGGUUACCCGCUGAAUUUAAGCAUAUCAAUAAGCGGAGGA